AUUGAACGCUGGCGGCAGGCCUAACACAUGCAAGUCGAGCGGAGCGGGGGACGGGUGAGUAAUGCUUAGGAAUCUGCCUGGGAGUGGGGGAUAACGUUCGGAAACGGGCGCUAUUACUACAUACUAUUACCAGAGCCUAGGCCGGAUUAGCUAGUGGGUGGGGUAAAGGCCUACCAAGGCGACGAUCCGUAACUGGUCUGAGAGGAUGAUCAGUCACACUGGAACUGAGACACGGUCCAGACUCCUACGGGAGGCAGCAGUGGGGAAUAUUGGACAAUGGGCGAAAGCCUGAUCCAGCCAUGCCGCGUGUGUGAAGAAGGUCUUCGGAUUGUAAAGCACUUUAAGUUGGGAGGCGUUACCAACAGAAUAAGCACCGGCUAACUUCGUGCCAGCCGCCGCGGUAAUAC
rnacentral:rRNA from 1 species